rnacentral:snRNA from 1 species
AGCUUUGUGCAGUGGCAGUAUUGUAGCCAAUGAGGUUUAUCCUAGGCAUGAUUAUUGCUAAUUGAAAACUUUUCCCAAUACCCCACUGUGACGAAUUAAAAAAAAAAAGAUCAUAUUUAGGUGACUCAGUCCUGUUCAAUUUUUUUAAAU